GUGCUCACUUCAGCAGCACAUGUACUAAAACUGGAAAAAAACAGAGAAGAGUGGUACGGCCCUGUGCAAGGAUGGCGUGCAAGUUCGUGAAACAUUUCAGAAGAAG